AGAGGAGGACAGAGGACAGUGGACACAUAGUUUAACAUGAUGGACUAUAGGACAGGACUGCUGCUUUUAACCAUCUGCUGCUGGACAGGUGUUGAUGGUCAGACUCUGACAGAAUCUGAACCAGUGAUUAAAAGACCUGGAGAAUCCCACAGACUGACCUGUACAGCCUCUGGAUUCACAUUCAGCAGCUCUUAUAUGGCCUGGGUUAGACAGGCUCCUGGAAAAGGACUGGAGUGGAUCGCUUAUAUCUAUACUGACAGUAGCAACAUGUUCUACUCCCAGUCAGUUCAGGGCCGGUUCACCAUCUCCAGAAACAACAACAGACAGCAGCUGUAUCUGCAGAUGAACAGUCUGAGGACUGAAGACUCUGCUGUUUAUUAUUGUGCUCGAGAGCCACAGUGA